GACGAACGCUGGCGGCGUGCUUAACACAUGCAAGUCGAACGAAGUGGCGAACGGGUGAGUAACGCGUAAUUAACCUGCCCUUCAGAGGGGGACAACAGUUGGAAACGACUGCUAAUACCGCAUACUGAAGGAGGGGAUUGCGUCUGAUUAGCUAGUUGGAGGGGUAACGGCCCACCAAGGCGAUGAUCAGUAGACGGUCGGAGCGGAGGAACGGCCACAUUGGGACGGAGAUACGGCCCAGAGUACUACGGGGGGCAGCAGUGGGGGAGAUGGCACAAUGGGCGAAAGCCUGAUGCAGCGAGGACGCGUGGGGGAUGAAGGCUUUCGGGUUGUAAACCUCUUUCGCUAUCGAACGGGUAGGUGGAGAAGAAGCGCCGGCUAACUACGUGCCAGCAGCCGCGGUAAUAC
rnacentral:rRNA from 1 species